GUCACCCAGAGCAACAGCUAAGAGCAGGCACUCAGGAGCCAGUGCCUGGGGUCAGGCCACAGUUUGCCAAGUGGGCAACCUACUAACCCUCGAGGUGUCUGUCUGUCUGCUCACCCGUAACCGGUGACAGCAGCACCUCCAUGUAGGGCUGUGGGAGCAUUAUUACACGAGUCCUUGCCUGUCACAGACCACACUGUGUGACUCCAUCCUUGCAGAGUGGCUCUGCGGGAUGGGGGGGGGGGGGUCCGCCCUGCUGGCCACCCACAGCACGGGGGUUCCCAGCAGUGCCCUCCCUGACCGUGACCCACACACAUACCCCAGCGAGGCUAGAACUCUGUGUUCUGAGCAUCCCCAGGCCCUUUCCUCCCAUUCAAAGCUGAUUCAGUGAUUCACAGUCAAGCCUGAGAUUAUUGAAGCAACGUUCCUCUGCCCCUCCGACACAUGGAGUUCCCUGAGAACAAAGGCUGCCUCUGGUUUUGCUCAUCAGAAAACACUCAGUUUCCAGUAUCACACAGAAGGUCCACAUCCCCUAAAUACCUGUAUAUGAGAUCAUGUCGUAAGAGCUGCUCUUCAAUGAGCAUCUACUAUGUGCCAAGCACAUUAGUACAGUGUCUGAUUUGUUCCUCCCAGUAGCCCCAUGGUGUGGUCCUAAUGUGAUGCUUACUGUAAAAAUCAGAAAACUGAAAUUCAGCCAGCAACUGCUCCCGAGCCCCAGGGCCAGGCAUUGGCAGAGCCUGCUCUCAGGCCUCCGCCUCCGAUCUUUAACUGCUCGCUUCAAUGCCACUGAAAAUGCGGCUAAAGAGCCUACCCUCACUGGCUUACUGCCUCCUGCAUCAUAAUCCAUAAUGCCCCAGCAGACACACUCCUGAGGGUGCACACCCUGCUCUGCCCCCUCCCCCAACACAUCCCCCCAGCCCAGGGCCUCCCUCCAGUCCACAGACAGAGACCAUGAGCAAAGGGGAGGACACGGUGAAUGUACCAGGGCCUGGGCUCAUGUAUCCCUGGCGUUGCCUGGGUCCCCACGUGCCUGGGUUGUUGCCGCCAAGACAUCGAGCGAGGCAGAGCACGCAUGCGCCUUCCGCUCUCUCCAUGGCCUGAGGGCCUCUCUGCAGGAGCUGGACUCGGGGCCGCCCACCCCAGUGAGGUGCCCUGUGCUGGGUCCCGGACACAGAUGCUCGAUGACACCCAUGUGCCCAAGUCCAGACGUUGCUGAAACCCCAGCACAGGCAGAAGGAGCGGCAGCCGCGCUGUCCCGGGCCCUGCGGAAUCCGCACACAUUGAGCAAGUUGAGCGGAGGGAAUUGGGGUGCACUGGGAGAAUGGGGUGGGGCCAGUGCAGGGGCAAAGUGGGAGGGGCCUGGCAGCGUCCCGCCUGCGACAGAGACGGGGAAGGGGCCCCUCGCUGUUAAAAGCCCUUUACACAGCCCCGUCCCUAGGUCGACCAAAGCACCAGCUGAGCCCGGCGAACGGAUCCCCAACAGCCCCGGCCGUGUCCACACGGAGGGGCCUGUGAGUCCCGCCCUCGGCGGAGCCUCGGCGUGGGGGCGGCCUGCUGAGUCCGAGCAGGCGCGGGGCCUCACAUAGCCUCGGAAGCCCCCGUCCCGGUCUGGGUCUCGGCCUCUGGGUGUGACACACGCGGGAGGACAGAGAUUCCGCGCUCCUAGUGCGCCCAGGACCCCUCUCAGCCCCUCUGCGGAUGUGGGGACAAAUCUGCCAACCAGCGCGGGGAAGCUGGGAUCAGUGACGGCUUGGAUCAGCUUCCAGGAAAGCCCAGCAGUUGUCAUGUCCGGAAGGGUACGGGGAAGUGGACCGGGGCUCUGGACAGAGGCCUGAAACCCGCCCAUCACUGCAGUGCCCUGCCCAUCGCUGUAGCCCCGCCCUUCACAGCAGUGUCCACGCCCACCGCCCACCGCGGUAGAGAUCCCUGGGGCUUCCAGGGGCGGAGCCGAGCGCGGUGAGAGGGUUUUUUCAUCCCAGAGCUCUACAGGAGAAACUCGGAGACCUGGGGAUGUUACUGACUUGUUGGAUCACCGAAUCCUAGGAAGGAAUCGGGGAACGCAUCUCACAGAGGGGAACAGAAUCAACACAGAGACUCGCCAGUUAGCUCGUUAAAUGGAGUAGCCGCGCAAAGCCCCUCGCACGUGCCUGAGGCUCAGCACACAGGGGUCUCCCCACGUCUCACAGCCCCUCCCAGGCCAUUGUCAGGGGUUCCCCCUGAGCCUCCUUCCAGCCCCACCGGGAUUCUUGAGGUGCAGUGUGGAGGAGGCAGGGCAGUCAGUCCUUCCACCUCCCCGGGACCCCAGCCCACAGGGUGGGUCAGGAGCCUGUCUCCGGCUGCUGACUCCUAGUGCCAGGGACCCCCGAGAGAGGAAACCCCACAGGAUGAGGGUUGAGGGCUGAGGACCCAGAUCCUGGGGUCGGGGCAGGUGUUGGCCUGGGAUAUGGGGUUUGGAGGCCCCCUUAGGAGGCAGGAAGUCUCUGCUCCCACUUCUGCAGAAAAAUGGAUUCAGAUAGCUCCGGAUUCAAAUCCCAGCCCCACCACUUCUGGGAUACUUGGUCUUUCCAGGAGCGUUUUAGAGCCAAGCCCCCAGAGAACCAGGGUAAGAUUCUAGAGUGCAGGAAUGCAAGAACACAGAGACAGGGCUUAGCUCAGUGCCUCACCUACACCUGCGGGGGGGAAGAGGGGUGGGCGGGGCAGACAGACACACAUGUGCCUGCAGCACAGUUCCAGCCAGGUGUCCUGACCCUUCCUCGUCGGCCCCCAGAGUGAGGAAGGACCCCAUAUGCUGCACCUGUUCUAGGUUGUGUUCAAGGUCAACUGAGGGUGAAGGGGUGGUCUCCUCGGUCCUGUCCACCCUUGAUUCUGUUUCUAGACACUCGAGAAGACUCAGACUCUCGGGGGUCUGGAAUGGCCGUGUCUUUCCUUGGUGUCAGCUUGUGACCGGCUCAGCCUCACUAGGAGUCAUGGCUGCCUCCAUCCUGUCCCCGCAGAGAAAGGGACGCAGGGGUCACUUCUGGGCCCUGAUCAUCAGGAAGUAGGUGUGUCCUCUCCACUCUCUUUCUCCUCACCCAACACCUGGGGACAGCAGAGUGGGGCAGGGUGGACUUCCACCCUCCCUGCCUCCCACCAGGUUUCUGGUGCAGGCGGGUGGUGGAGCUGAGCUCUGGGGAUGUCCUGACUCUGGGCCCCGAGAUGACAAAGGUGGAGGUGAUAGGUGGCCGCUGCUUGGCUUUGCUUGUCUUUCUGCAGCUCUGUUGGGGUGUGACUAACAAACAGGAAGCGUUCACAUUAGAGGUGUGUGUCUGGGUGCUUUCCAAUCCCCCACCCCACGGGUCUCAGUUCCCUCACUGACACAACUGGAUAAGAGCAGUCCCUAACUCCCAGACUGUGCAGAGGCUCAACGAGAGAACCCAGGUGUUUCCCGCUACACGGCUCCUGGCCGGCAGGGAGCCCCCAACAAAUGUCAGCUGGCCCUCGGGGGGUGCCGUCCCCAGGGCUGAUGUCUGGAGGCUGCUGGGCGUUCCACUUGGUCCACUGAGGAGUGGCAGGGAAAUCUCAAGAACCAUCAUCAGAGAGGCACGAGCUCCAUCGCGUGAACACGGCACCAUCAUGAUGGAGCUCUCUAAACAUGCGGAGGGGUCACGUGACUGAAAGCGUCCCAGAGCUGAGCAUUCACAAGCAGGCUCAGACCAACAUCAGGUUCGCAGGAGCUCACAGGAGGCCCUGGGAGGGAGGCAGUGACCCGUCUCCUUCCUCCCCACUCCCCAGUCCCCAGAGCCCUCCCUUCUCUGAGUCCCUGCUCCCCUCAGUACCCUCAUCUUUCUUCAUGGGGUAUGUGCUCGUCUUCCUGUGCUAGCAGACCCUCAGAUUCCAUGGCUGCAAACCACAGAAGACUACAUUUCCCAGCUUCCCCUGCAGCAAGGUACAGUCAUGUGACUAUAUGCCACAAAUGGCAGGUAGAAGAAGGCGUCCAUGCAUGCACUUGUGCAUGUGCAUGUGUGUCCAUGUGUACAUGUGUGUGCAUGUAUGCAUGUGUAAAACUGCCUAGUGAGUUCUUUUUUUUUAAUAUUUUUUUUGGACAGGCAGAGUUAGACAAUGAGAGAUAGAAAGGUCUUCCUUCCAUUGGUUCACCCCCAAAAUGGCCGCUGUGGCCAACGUGCUAUGCCGAUCCGAAGCCAGGAGCCAGGUGUUUCCUCCUGGUCUCCCAUGCAGAUGCAGGGCCCAAGGACCUGGGCCAUCCUCCACUGCACUCCCGGGCCACAGCAGAGAGCUGGCCUGGAAGAGGGGCAACCGGGACAGAAUCCGGCGCCCCAACCAGGACUAGAACCCCGGGUGCUGGCGCCACAGGCGGAGGAUUAGUUUAGUGAGCUGCGGCGCCGGCCCCCAGUGAGUUCUUGAAGGGAACAUUGCCCCGCAUUGCCCCUUCUCCUGGCAAAGCGCUGGAGGGGAGGGAAGGCCCAGCCGACCACGCGGGUGGAAGCAACCUUAGGAAGGCAGAGCAGCAAGCAGGGAGGCGCCUGGGCCCGCACACAGUGAGCCAUCAGGGAGCCCUGGAUGGCCAACACCCACGGCUAACGUGAGAGAAGCGCGCUUCUGUCCUGAUUAUGGCACCGGCACAGCGAGUCCCCUUAACCACGUCUUGAUAAUCUGCUGAUCAAGGCAGCUCUGCGCAGGAGCUCAGCUCUCAGGACCACCUGUGGGAAGGCCACGUGUGUCAGUUACCUACUGCUGUCCGAUCAGCUCGCCCAAAACUCGGCCCGAAAAUCCGAACAGCGCUCGCUGUCCUCCAGCCUGGAAGCAGAGGGCUGGGCUGCCCGACUUCUUCAUGCCAUUUCUCGUCUCUGAAACCCCUGUUGGUGAGUCCCUGCAGGUCUGGCACCCUUCGAUGCUAACAGGAAGACGGGGCAUGGCUGUCCGAGCCGCUUCGUGUCCCCAUGGCCCAAGGCCUGCAGUCACUUAGCCCCUCUCUCAUUCAUUUAUGCACCCAGGCGUCUUUGUUAGCACGUUAGACACCAUGGCCAGGUGUUCCUGGACACCCGCACCUGGUGAGGGGGGGACGGGGUUAGGGAAUCACAGGAACAGGUGAGUCUGGAGCAGUGGAAGGAGUGGGGUGUGGGGAGUCCCCACCGGGACUUGUCCGGCUGUACCUGGGGAGGCCAGGGACACUGAACUCAGCUGAGAUUGACAGGUAACAGUUUGUCUGGGGCAUGUAGUGGGCAGGGUGCGUGCCAAGACUCAGAGGCUUGGAACAGGCAGAGCGCGUGGCUGGGAUGGCUGGGAACACGGUGUGGCUUUAGGGAGUAGAGAAGGAGAGGAGAGAUGGGCCUGGCGAGGUGCGUGCCCGGGGUCCUUCUCCAGGUUCUCCCAGUGGCUGAUGCUUGCAGGACUCUGCCCCGAGUCUGAGUUCAAGUCCCAGCUUGGCUCUUGUCUCCCAUGUGAUUCUCAACAAGUGGCUCCACUUCCUGAGCUUCAGUUUCUUCCGUGUUAAAAUGCACAGAAGAUGCACCUCAUACACUGGUAAAGAGAGGGAAAGCCUCGAUCCAUCAGUCAGUCAGCAAGUGUUUAUUGAGUGGCUACUCUACACCAGCUUUGUGCUGGACGUGCGGCCGCAGCAGUGGACAGCCUGAGCUCAUGAGACCAACAGUCUCACUUCAGAGUGCCUGAGUCCCACUUCUGGUUCUAGUUCCUGAUUCAAGUUUCUUGCUAAUGCAGGAAGGUUUGGGUUCUUGCUACCCACAUGGGAGACCUGGGUUAAGCUCCCGGUCCCAGAUUCGGGACUCCCUACCCCAGCAUUUGGGGACUGAACCAGCAAAUGGGAGCUCACUCUCUCUCUCUGUCUCUUUCUCUCUCUCCCAAAUAAAACAAAAAAUAAAUGGUUAAAAUGGUCCAUUUUAGGUUGAAUAUAUUGAACCAGCAUAGCAAGUUUCCCAAAGACAGGUAUCCAUCAGUGUCACAUACCUUACUGACAGACCCAAGAGAAAUCAUGGGACCGUCUCCAUAGCUGCAGGAAAAAGCAUGUGACAAAAUCCAGUGCCCAUUCAGAAUGGAAACUGUGCGUGCUGGAGAUAGAAGGAAAAUCUCGCAGCAACUUGGAAAACGCCAGUCGAACUGAACAGAACUUGGGAAGGAAUUGAGCAGGCUUUUCCGGCUGCAUCGGAGUGUGAAAAGAAAAUGCUUGAAAACGAGAGUCCUUUCCUGUCGGUCCCUGGAGAGCACAGCGCUCAGGCGUUGGCAGCCCUUUUGCCGAGCGCCGAAGUGUGGCAUUCCUGCGUGAGUGAGCAACCCUCGGUGGUGACAACCGUGAUUUCCUGUGCGGGCACGUGCAGGUGUGCAAUACGAAUGUGGCUGGGUAAUACAGGAUUACUGCGUGGAUAGCAGUAUUAACUAAAGCAUACAGGGACACAGGAAGUCACUCCCGCAUCAUCUCUCCAGUCCCCACCCGCUCCAGAACGGCCACUGUUACAUUUGAGUUCUAUUUCGAAACUAUUCAGAUAAGAAACAUCUUACCAUCCAAGAAUCAGGUACAGCCUCUCCCACAUCCUCAUUUUCUCAGACCUGCCCACCUUAAUGCCUCCCCCCACCCCACCCCCACUGCCUCCUGCUGCCCAGAGCUGCCCAGGGCAUCCUCAAGCUAUCAGCGGGGGCAGGUGCAGGCUGGAAGCCGGAGUGCUGCCUACCGCCCCUCCCCCCAGCCCAGCGUGCAUCCUGCACCCAGUUCCAGGCAUCAGCCAUCCACCGAUGUGAGCACUGCCGUGGGCCAGGCUCCAUUGUGACAGCGGCCUGUGGCCCCGCUCCUGGGACUCUCAGCUUGGAACACAGAGGUGGAAUCAAACAGCUCAGGAGAACAGACAUCAGCCCCAGGUCUCCCACAGGACAGGGCCAAGCCUGCCUCCCUCACCCCUGAUCCUCAAGCAUAGCAAGACCUCAGGGAGCACCUGUGACAGAGAUGCAUGUACAAGGUGACCUCUAACAGCCCUGGCUGCUGCUUGUGGUCUGGAGGCCAGCAGCAGCAGCUCCCGGGAGCUCCCGGACCAGAGCUGAGCCUGCGUAGCAUCCCAGGAGGUUCUGGAAACUUGUACGCUCAGCCUCACCGCCCCACACCUUCCUCCUCCUCCCUCACUGUGCCCUCCGUGAGCCCUCUCCUCCCAUCCCUAAACUAUGAGGGGACUUCAAAAUGCUUGUGGGAAAUGGAAUGAAAAGACAAACGUAUUUGGGAGCAAAAAUCUGUUGAGAUCUGUGCCUACUCCUAGGAGUCAAAGCAUGAAGUCUGUGCUGGAACCGCCCCCUGGAGUCUGCUUCCGCCCACCCUCUGACUCCCCUUCCACAACACCCUUCACUCUGCCGACGACCUGCUCCGAGACAACUCGGGUACAGCCGGGGGAGCUGAGUCAGCCGGGAGAAGUCACCUCCCUGGGGUAGAGGGUGGUGAGGGCCAGAGGUGGAGGCGUGAGCUCAGCACACCCCCACCCUGUGCUGAGUCAGCCCCUGCGGAGUUGGAUGGGAGGAGCAUCCCUGGGGUUUCCCACGCUUUCCCAAGUCUCUUCUCUGGUUCUAGGAACUUUUCAAAGUGCCCCAGGCUGGAAGAAGGAAGCGGCAAGCUGAGGACAGAGGGUGUAAACCCACCUGCUUGGCUCCUGUCACCCCAGAGCAGGGGUUGGAAGGGCAGGAACCACCUGAGGACCAGAGAUCUGCGGGAUUCCUCUCCUGGGACAUCGCCCCAAGUCCCCCGGACCCCAGACUGCAGGGUUCUCCUUGCUUCUGCAGCUGGGCCCUGUCCCUUCACAGGGGACAAUGGAGGAAGGGCUGCCAGGCCUUGGGCCCCAGUGUCCCACAGCAAACACAGGGCAGGGCAGGCGCCCAAACCAGAGCCUCCUGAUGCCCACUUGAACGCUCCAUGCACCUGCCAUUCUCUGCGUGAUAUUGACAGAACCUCCUGCUUGGCAGGCGCCAGUCACACCCACACAGCCCUGCAAGCUGCCAAACGUCAUCUCCGUGUUUGCUGAAGCAAAGCUGAGGCUCAGAGAGGCUUCUGCAGAGCUGGGGGUGACCCUGCUCCAGGACCCAUCAUCAGCUCCUGCCCCCUGGGACCCUGGAGAGGUGUGAGCUCCAGGCAGCCCUCACUGCCUGGGUGAGCCCGACCUUCCCCCCAUCACAAGCGUCUGUGCUUUCUUUCCCUCCCCACCCAUGCAUCCACCUCUACCAUCUGUGGACCCCUGAUCCAGCCCUCUCCACCUCCUGCAUGCAUCUGGGAUGGGCUCUACCUUGGCUCCAAGAAUGGACCAAGGGGCCCAGGCCUGACCAAUCAAAGAUCUGCAUUCACCCUGGCCCUAGGGUGACAGAGAAGGACAUCAAUCAAACCACUCCAUACAAUAAUGUCAGAUUCACACCAGGAAGGCAACAAAACAGGGUGGAGGACAGAGAGGGUGCUGUGGUCCGAGUGCCUGUGUCCCUCCCAAAUGUACAUGUUGGUGCCUGGGUCCUGACGGUGAGCCCGCAGGGAUGGGAGGAGUCCCUUGUGGCGCCUUGGUUGCCUCUUCCUGCUGUGUGAGGACGCCGCAGGAAGGUGCCAUCUACAAAGAUCCAGCUCCUGCAGACCCCAAAUGCCCCAGUACCCUGACCUUGGAACUUCCAGCCUCUGGAACUACAAGUACCAAGUCUCAGUUGCGUGGAAGCCACCCGGCCUAAGGAGCCAGCACCACCUGAGACGCAUGGUGAUGGGAAGGCUUCGGGCCACAGGAAUGGUCACGUAAAAUUUGCUAGAGCCCGGAAGGAAGGAAGGAGGGGGACGAUGAGCUUCAGGGGGAGGACUUGGCGGCAGGAGGGAGGAGUAGGUGCAGAGGCCCGAGGCAGGAGGACCCAGCGGGAGGGCAGUGCAGCUGGAGGUGGGGGCAGGGCUCAGCCCAGGGUUCUGAGUGGACCAAGGUCAUCCGGCGCCAGGGGAGGACUGAGACAGAAAGAUGGGAACCCAAGAAGUGCUCCAGGAGGACAUGCCUCCAGGAGCCAACGCCCGAGUGUGCUGACACAGACAGAGCCCUCUCCUAAGCCCUCUCCUAAGCUCGCUGCAUGGGCCUGCACCCUUGCGACAGCCCGAUGAGGUCGGUUGCAUUAGCACACACACAGCAGGUGAGACUCUCGGGCUUAGAAGUCAGGAGUGUUAGGUAUAGGAUUCUCGGGCCCAAAGACAGUGCAGCAAUGAGCGGGUUAAAGCAGAAAAGCCUUUUAUUGUGGAGAGGAGAGCGCAGUAGGGAAGUGCAUCUUCGGCACCCCCGGGCAGCGGGCAGAGGCCCCUGUUAAGCUAGUUUUCAGGGGCAGGUCAUGUGGCAGUGCAGAAUGCCGCAUGGCCAGGACAGGCGGGCCUGGAUGAGCAGAAAGCCUCGGAGGCAGCCGUUUAUCCAAGCCAAUCGUCUGCAGUCCCGGGAGUGGUGCUCAUGAAGGUUGGCGCCAGGCUAGCAGAAUAAGAAGUAGAAUUCCACCAAGGCCUAGGGUUACCUAUAUGUGCCCAAUCUUUAUUUUUUAUUGACAGGCAGAAUUAGACAGUGAGAGAGAGAGAGAGAGACAGGGAGAAAGGUCUUCCUUUUCCGUUGGUUCACCCCGCAAUUGGCCGCUACGGCCGGCGUGCUGCGGCCGGCACAGCACGCCAAUCCGAAGCCAGGAGCCAGGUGCUUCCUCCUGGUCUCCCAUGCGGGUGCAAGGCCCAAGCACUUGGGCCAUCCUCCACUGCCUUCCUGGGCCACAGCAGAGAGCUGGACUGGAAGAGGAGCAACCGGGACAGAACCGGCACCCCAAACAGCGCUAGAACCCAGGGUGCUGGCGCCGCAGGCGGAGGAUUAGCCAAGUGAGCCGCAGCACCAGCCCUCUGUGCCCAAUCUUACCAGGGCUUUGGAAUUAGCUCUUUGUGCCCCAGUGGCCUAGUAGAUCCCAACAAUGUAGACUGGUUCAAGGUCAAGGUCAAGUUCACACAGCUAGAAAGCAGCAGAACUAGGAUUUGAACCCAGGCCAACUGGCUGUACAACCCUUUCUUUUUAUCACUAGCAGUUUAAAAGGUUGUUGAUUACCCAUAUUUACAGAUAAAGAACCUGAGGCUCAGAAUGGAUUUCUGGGUCUGAAGCCCCUUCUCUGCGGCUCCGGAGCUGACCCUGGAUGACUGACUACUGACCCUGGACCCUCCCCAGAAAUGCUCUCUUGGACUUGGGGGGCCUGGCAACCUCGCACACCCUUGCACAAAAGGCUGCGCCCCCACUCCGUGUUGAACCUACACAUAAGGAGGUGAUUCCCCAUGGUGUCUCUGCACCAGCAGCCUCCCCUGUAUGGGGGCCUCAGCAUCAGCACAGUCCAGUGCUGGGCACAGGUUGGCCCUGGCACAUGGUUGCUGACUGAGUGUCCGGAUGAAUUGAACCCUCUCCUUGGACCCUUUGUGGGAAGGGCUAGGCGGGAGACCUCAUCUCAACCCCGGUCUCUGGUGAGUAUCUCUAUACUGCCACAUUCCCAGGGGAUUGGGGUGCCUGCACCCCUUUUUCCCAGGGUCUCCAGGUUCCAUUCCUCCACAGUGGACCCCACCCCACUCUCUACUCUCCAGGCAAAGCCCUCAGCCCCAGGAAGCAGGGGAGUGGCUCAGAUAUCCUCUGUCCCGGAGAGGGGCAGAGCUGGGCGGGGACAGGAGCAGGGGACCUGGUAAACUCAGGCAGAAAGGAGCUCGGGGCACAGAGAGCUCCCUCACACCCCUUCCCUGUUGCAGGGGCUGCGCCACAGCCCUUUGUUAUCCUUGCAGGGUGGGCUUCAAGAGCAUUGUUUUUUGUUUUUUGGGGUUUUUUUGUCUUUUUUUUAAAGAUUUAUUUAUUUUAUUAGAAAGAGUUGCACAGAGAGAGGAGACGCAGAGGGGUGGGGGGGUAUCUUCCAUCUGAUGGUUCACUCCGCAACUGCCGGAGCUGCGCUGAUCUGAAGCCAGGAGCCAGGAGCUUCUUCCGAGUUUCCCACGCAGGUGCAGGGGUCAAGGACUUGGGCCAUCUUCCACUGCUUUCCCAGGCCAUAGCAGAGAGCUGGAUCGGAGUAGCGGGGUCUCGAACUGGUGCCCAUAUGGGAUGCCGGCGCCGCAGGCCAGGGCAUUCACCCACUGCGCCACAGCACCGGCCCCCAAGAGCAUUGUUUUGCUCCACUUGAUAAAAGUGCAAUUCACUGAAGGCUCUCAGAUGGAUAUUUCCAUCUCCAAAGCUUAUUUUUCAGGGGAAGAUCAAUCCCAAGGAACCACUUACAGUCUGGGGAGUCGGAUCCAUUAACACGUGCCAAGUGCCCAGGGGCUCAGGGAGGGCACCUCCGAGUAAACCAGAAAUGGUGGAACUGCCGGAGCCUGGAGCGAUGCUCACUGAGAGGCUUUACAAGUCUUCCUUAUUUCUCCUCCAACUGAAAUCAAAUGGCGCGUGUGAGUCUAGGACAGAUGAUGAAGGAGCUGCCACAGAGCCGAUCUGCCACCCGCAACCACAGAGAAGUCCCUCCCCGUGGAGGGGGCCCCUGUUCCUCUGGGGCUCAGCCUCUGGGACAUCUCAGACAUCUGGGAAGAGACUCUGGUUCCCACGGUGACAGCAGCUUCCAGUGUCCAGCGUUGUCCCAUGCGCCGGGCAGCCAGGGGCAAGGAAACCCCCACGGCCACCGUCCAUCAGAGAGGGAGGUGGAGAGCAGGCUUCUGAGCCAGCAGAGAUCAUUUCUAGAGGCUAAGAGAGGGCUGCAGGGAGAAGGGAGCCAGGGCAGGGGCAGCCUCCAACUGCUGCGACAGGAGCAGAGAGCCCGUCUCCAAAGAUGCAACACUGGACGCCACAAGGGCUGAUGCCAGGGUCACGGCCAUGAAAGGAUGCCCUCUGCUCUCAGCCACUGUGGCUCAUAUGCACCCAGCCCUGUGUUAGUGCCUUGCAUGCAUUAUCUCACGUAAAGGUCACAGGAGCCCCGUGCCCUGGGUUCCAUUACAAUUCCCAUUUUACAGAUGAGGAAUCCGUGGCUCACAGAGAUAAAGUCGUUUGCUCUGAAACAUCGUCGUAUAGCAAAGCUGGGUCUGAAGACUGCAUCACUGUUAGGCCCCCCUCUCACUCCUGCUUGCACAGCCCCCAGGAUGGGGGGCUCAGCACCCCCCAAGACAGCCCCUUCUCUCCCUGGACAGCUGUGACUGUGGGAGAGUCUUCCUCCAGCCCUUCCUGUUUUCAAAGGCAACUCUCCCUUCCCACAGGGGUGCUCAACCCCAGCUUCUAUAGCCCUACCCUUGCCUGGCUGACUUGCCCUGAAUGAAGGGACGUUUGCUCAGACACAAGGCUGGGGAUAGAUGGUAUCUGAUCCCCCACCCUGAUGCCCUCAUUCUUCAAGUCCCUGUGCACGCAUGCACGUGGGCACACACACACGCCUGCGCACACACACACAGAGCUAGAGGUCUCGAUGAUGAGCUUUGAUGGCAAAAUUGGCCACUGUUUCCCACUCUCCCCUCUGCCCUUGUCCUUUGCAACUCUUCCCAGCAGGAGGCAAAAUCUAUUUCCUCACUCAGUCUGAGCUACCCCGUAUCCUGGGACCCAUACAGCACAGCACAAGCGGCAUUGAACAAGGGCUGAGCCUAAACCUCCAGAGACCUCGUGCACCUCUGCUGUAAUUUACAACCUGUUUUCACCGUGAGAACGAAGCCCAGGAUCCUCCCUGGAGGCUGAGGGAACACAUUGAGCUGAGAUAAACCACCAAGUCAUCCCACAAAGGCCAGCUUCACCAGCCAACACACCAGCAGCCCAAGUGCUAAUAAUCCCAGCUGUGCCCAGCCAGGCCAAGCCAUGCCCAGCUGCGCCCAGCCCAGAGCUGCAGAACUGAUACAGGAUAAGGAAGCGAGCUGAACUGGAGGUGGCAAACCUCGAGGCCCUGGCCCAUGUAAUUCCACCUAUUUGUCAGACCACCCCCUUUCCCAGGAUGCCUUAUUUCCAACCAGGACCUGGGGAAGGGUCGCCAUGUACACAUUAAGCUCCACAUGGAAUUUUGUGCAGGUGUCAUAAACUUCCCAGGUGACCACACUACCUCAUAAGAGGAGGUGCCAGGAGGUGCUUGCUCUCCCUUCAGAGACAAGGACGAGAGGAGGUGCUGCGGGUGCCCCCCACUUCCCUUCCCCCACCCCCUUCUCUCUCUGCCCUACUCUAACUCAGCCCAUGUGUGUGUGUUUGCCUGAUAAAUAAACUGUAUCACUUUUUGCACUG